ACCCAUGAGGAGGAUGAUAUAACGGCCGCCGAAAAAUAGAUUCCAAAUUUCACUGUCUGAUUUUUGCGCGAUGAUCUUCUUCUCCCGUAGCACCAUAGCAGCGCCAAAAAGCAUUUAUUCACCAUGGCCAGCAUCGCCGAACAUAACACCGAACAGGAAGGGAAACGUAAUGAUGGUGUAAAGCGCCGGAUUAGCUUCGCGAUACGAUGCCACACCAUAUGCAUCGAUCAGAUUUUGAAAACCUCUCGUAAAUCUGUUUGUCCUGUUGAACGUCGGGGGAUUUUCAUCCGUGUGGAUCACGUUGAGAAACGAUGUUUGCCGAAGAAAUACGUUUCCACGGGAUAUACGCCAAAGCAUUCUCUCGAAGGCAGGAACUCGUUCGCGAUUUAUCACUCCGCCGACGAAUCUACAAGAAAACAGAUAUGUCAUUCUAAUGGUAUAAUUUAUUAAGCAGUACAUUAUAUAUAGCAUCGUAUAUAACUGUCGCUUCAUAUUGAUCUUGUUCAAAAAUUUGCUAAUAAAAUUAUCCAACAAAUAAUAUUAUUUAUUAUAUAUUUCUUUCCAAAUAUAUGUUAUCAUCGAAAUUAAUUAGAGAGGGAAUUACACAAUUGAUGAAUAAAGGACAAACUUUCAUUCUUUUUCAUUUUAA